CCGAAAAUGUUGGUUUAAACCCCUCCUUUACUA
rnacentral:tRNA from 1 species